GUGGGGAAUAUUGGACAAUGGGCGAAAGCCUGAUCCAGCCAUGCCGCGUGUGUGAAGAAGGUCUUCGGAUUGUAAAGCACUUUAAGUUGGGAGGAAGGGCAGUAAGUUAAUACCUUGCUGUUUUGACGUUACCGACAGAAUAAGCACCGGCUAACUUCGUGCCAGCAGCCGCGGUAAUACGAAGGGUGCAAGCGUUAAUCGGAAUUACUGGGCGUAAAGCGCGCGUAGGUGGUUUUGUAAGUUGGAGGUGAAAUCCACGGGCUCAACCUGGGAACUGACUCCAAAACUGCAUGACUAGAGUACGGUAGAGGGUAGUGGAAUUUCCUGUGUAGCGGUGAAAUGCGUAGAUAUAGGAAGGAACACCAGUGGCGAAGGCGACUACCUGGACUGAUACUGACACUGAGGUGCGAAAGCGUGGGGAGCAAACAGGAUUAGAAACCCGAGUAGUCC
rnacentral:rRNA from 1 species